rnacentral:lncRNA from 1 species
UUAAGUGUAAUUAGAAGGGAGUUACUUUUGAGUGGAAAGUUAUACAGAGAAGUUAGAAUCAGUUUCACGUAGAACCAGUUUUGGGAGCAAGCAAGAGAGAACCAAGGAAGAACCAAGAGUUGAAUUUUUGCUGUGCAUUUCUUCUGCAAAUUUAAGGUAAGGGUGAGGUUUACUUUCAAUAGUAUAGAUUGUAAUUCUGAUUUUGAUUUAACAUGUUUCUGGUAGAAAUUGGGGAAUUUGGGAUUAGGUUUUGAUUAUUGAUUUUUGAAUGAAAAAGUGUAGAAACCAUAGAAUUGAAUGGUAAAAGAGUGGUUAAUCAGGUAGGUUAGUGAUGGGUUAACGUUUUAAUGAUAGGGUAAUCAUAUGGUGAUGAUUAUGGAUGAUUUUGGAGAGUUUAGGGUUAAGAGAUGGAGCCAAGGAGGUCCCCAUGGUAGAAAAUUGCAGAAAAUGUGUAAUUUUAAUAUGUCUGAUACUGUCGAAAUCAUGAGGCAAUUCUAGUGAUCAUGAGGCGAUUUUGACAGAAAUUGUGUAAUUUUAGUAUGUCUGAUGCUGUCGAAAUCAUGAGGCGAUUCUAGUGAAUCAUGAGGCGAUUUUGACAGAAAAUGUGUAAUUUUAGUAUGACUGAUGUUGUCUUACCAUAAACCCUAAAAUGCAAUUUUCUUCACUCCAAAUGCUUCCAAACUUCUUCCUAAGUGUAGGGACUUUAUCCUAAACGUAUAGAGAUGUUUUUAGGAAAGAUAUAACGUUGUAUAAGGGUCUAAUGAGUUCAUGAGUGGUCCUUGGGGUAGGGAUGGAAGUUGUCUAUAAGAGUAUAGCCUCUCAAUGUAUCUAAGCUAAUAUAAUUGAUGUUGUUGAUUACUAAUAUCUUUGAGUUGUUGAAUUCUGUUUGAACGUUUUGAAUGGAGCUUGAUGUAUGAACAUGAUUAAGAUAAAUUGUCAUUUUUCUGGAUAGUUGAAUCUCUGUUGAUUGUUGAUUGAUGUUGAGGAAUGAAAUGUAUGUUUUAACUAUGAAUCAUACAUGUUGUUUAAGUGGAGUCACAUGGAGUUUGCAUUGCAUGGUCAGUUGUAUGUAGAUAUACACAAGUAGGUCCAUGGCAUAUGCAUAAAACAGCGGUGAUGACUCAUGUCCUGGAGUACUAGUUGCUCAACAGCGGUGAGGGCUUCGGUCCUGAUGAAUGCUUUAACCAUUCAAAAGCGGUGAGGGCUUCGGUCCUCUUUGGUACAACAUGCAUAUUUGCAUAUUUGAGAAGUCUAAGGUGUUGUUUUAGCAGUGUUGUCAUGUCAUUUGCAUGAGUCGUAGUUGUUGAUUGUAAUUGUUACUUUGAUGAUGAUGAUGUUGUAGGUAAAUAUGUACAUUGUAUACAUACUUGAUGAGUGGAAUCUGAUGAUGUUGUUGUUGCUUGUGAAUUAAUUAUGUAUAAUGGCAAGAUGAUGUAUUUGAUGUUAUAGGGUGUUAGAUUCAAUUGAAGAUUUAAUAUCUAUAUUUAUUGUUGUGAAUCUCACCCCUUCUGCUUGAAAAUGUUGCCCUUCCUAUGGGUAACUUGCAGGUGAUCCUGAGUAGUCGGUGGUGGCUCAAGAGUCGUGUCUAGGGAUCUGAUACGUGGGAUAGGAAUUAUUAUAUUAUAUUAUUGUUGUUUUCCUUUCCAUGUAUCAAAUUUUGGAACUUGUUGAUGUGGCCCUUUGUUGGUCGACUUAUUGUUGUUUAGGCUUAAUGCCAAGAUGUUGUUGGAGACUUAAACCGUUGUUGUUGUUAUUGAAAUGCAAACUUUCCGCUGCAAGAUUUUGAAGUUAUUAAACAUGUUGAAUUAAA